GGAGGGAUCCCUUGCAAACUGCGGCCAUGGCUUAGGCACCCUCGAGCGGACGCUUUGCUCCCGUGUCCACGCUCCUGACAGUGGACUGAGAAAGCAGGUCUGCCGUGGGGAGAAGCGUUUCUGCGCCGCUUCACACGCUUUCUUUUGCUUUCUCUGAUGUCCCACCCACCAUGCUCCACCCAGCCAGUCACCACCCAGAUUCUCAACAUGGCUAUCUACUGAAGUGGCCGCCAGCGAAUGCUGUACAACCUGGCGAGCUUGGGGUCCGCCUCGUUGUCCUGUGAUUGGCCACUGGACAGGACUGAGGCCAAUCAGAGCCAAUGUACAAGCAGGACAGCAAUUCGUCAGAUGGGGAUGAGAAAGGGUUGCAGUUAAACGCACAGUAUUUCCAACCCACCCCAGCCCAGCCUUUAUUAGCAACCAACCAACAGGGCCACUGUAGGCUACUGGUUACCUGAAGGAUGGUGAAACUCUAAAGAACAUCAUAUCCUUUGCUAUGAAGUGGGCCAAUGAUUUAUUGAUAGCAUCAUCCUGCUAUUCUUUUCGUAGCCAGUGGUAGCUAACUUGAAUCCCUGGCUCUCCCAUGCUUCUUUGACACUGUCUAGAAGUAGAGAGAAAAUACUGCCAAGUUCAACACCAUGAUAACUUAGCUUUUACACAACUAAAACACAACUAAUGUAAUAUUUUUUGUUUCAGGGCUAGCAAACUAACUGCACAUUGCUCUCUGUACC
rnacentral:lncRNA from 1 species